rnacentral:rRNA from 1 species
AUUGAACGCUGGCGGCAGGCCUAACACAUGCAAGUCGAACGAGUGGCGGACGGGUGAGUAAUGUCUGGGAAUCUGCCUGAUGGAGGGGGAUAACUACUGGAAACGGUAGCUAAUACCGCAUACCAUCAGAUGUGCCCAGAUGGGAUUAGCUUGUUGGUGGGGUAACGGCUCACCAAGGCGACGAUCCCUAGCUGGUCUGAGAGGAUGACCAGCCAAACUGGAACUGAGACACGGUCCAGACGCCUACGGGAGGCAGCAGUGGGGAAGAUUGCACAAUGGGCGCAAGCCUGAUGCAGCCAUGCCGCGUGUGUGAAGAAGGCCUUCGGGUUGGAAAGUACUUUCAGCGGGGAGGCGGUACCCGCAGAAGAAGCACCGGCUAACUCCGUGCCAGCAGCCGCGGUAAUAC